UACGGAGGGGGCUAGCGUUGUUCGGAAUUACUGGGCGUAAAGCGCACGUAGGCGGCUUUGUAAGUUAGAGGUGAAAGCCCGGGGCUCAACUCCGGAAUUGCCUUUAAGACUGCAUCGCUAGAAUUGUGGAGAGGUAAGUGGAAUUCCGAGUGUAGAGGUGAAAUUCGUAGAUAUUCGGAAGAACACCGGUGGCGAAGGCGACUUACUGGACGAUUGUUGACGCUGAGGUGCGAAAGCGUGGGGAGCAAACAGG
rnacentral:rRNA from 1 species